rnacentral:tRNA from 1 species
AUAUGGUCUAGCGGUUAGGAUUCCUGGUUUUCCACCCAGGCGGCCCGGGUUCGACUCCCGGGUAU